UCAAUAUGCGUUCAAUAUGGGAUAAGCCC
rnacentral:sRNA from 1 species